rnacentral:lncRNA from 1 species
CGAAGAUAUGUGGGCAUGGGUGCAGCAGUUGAAAAUGAAAGUUACAAGGUGGGGAAACUGAAGCCAUCUGGGAUUCGAGUGCCAUAGAUGACACCGGAACUUAAACGCUGUGGCUCUGAAACCAGAAGGCACAACACGGCAGCCACUGGAGAAUUCCCAGCCACUGGAAAUACUUCAGUUUUAAACCUUCAGAGAGCCGCAGGACAAAAGUGAAGCAGAAAAGAAAUGACGGGUGGCUAAAUGUGGGUGGCACUGCCAACUCCUGAGUUGGAAUGCUGGAACAGAAGUGCCCGGGUGGAAAAGAGACCGCCUCACACUGGAGGACAUGAGAGGUCAGCCCAGAUGAUCAAGUGGAAUGCCAAAGCCCCUUGGCUCGGGGAAUUAUGCAGACUUCCAGAGCUGUCAAAUUCCGGGAAUCCAUUCCUUUCCAGCAGUCUGGGAUUCCCUGAAACACUGCUUCCAGUUGGUUUUGCCUCCACCUUCUCUACAAAUGUUAAUGUGCAUCUCAGGACCACAUGUUCCUUCUCUGAGCCUCUGAGGCAGGCUUCACAUCAGUGUCACUAAACAGGUGAAUCUACCAGAGCUGCUGAAGAGCAGGUUACCAAGGUAACAGAGCCCCCAAGCAAAGUUGGUAUGUUGCCAGCAAUCAGCAGGCCUCUAUGAGUGCCUAUCAAGCCAGAUGCUCACACUGAUAGCAUUUAACAGUCUCCUCUGACAGCAGGUGGUCACCUGGGCUAGGUCAAAUUAAGACAUGUUGUAAUUACAAAAUACACACCAGAAAUCCAAGACCUAAUACAAAAAAGGGCAAAUGGCCCAGUGAAAUAUUUACAUUGAAAUU